AUGCCUGUGAAAUCAAAAGGACAAGAAAAAUUGUGCAUCUGUGAGGAUUACGACUAUACAUGUUUUCAAUUGAAAGGAGGAACCGGAGCCCAGUCGGUGACCCAGCCUGGCGUCCACAUCACCGUCUCUGAGGGAGCCCGUCUGGAGCUGAGGUGCAAAUACACAUCUUCUUUUUCACCAUAUCUCUUCUGGUACGUGCAAUAUCCCAACCAAGGACUCCAGCUUCUCCUGAAGUACACGUCUGGAAACAGCCUUGUUUCAGGCAUCAAAAGUUUUGAGGCUGAAUUUAGGAAGAGCGAAACCUCCUUCCACCUGAGGAAACCCUCAGCCCUUUGGAGUGACUCGGCCAAGUACUUCUGUGCUCUGAGUGACACAGUGCCUGGGACUGCAGGGGGAGCUAAACACAAACUUCUGUUGAAUGUGAGACUUUCAGUGACUCCAGGGAUCAGCCUGGGGCAUUUUCAGUAA